rnacentral:rRNA from 1 species
UACGAAGGGGGCUAGCGUUGCUCGGAAUUACUGGGCGUAAAGCGCACGUAGGCGGCUUUCUAAGUCGGGGGUGAAAUCCUGGAGCUCAACUCCAGAACUGCCUUCGAUACUGGAAAGCUCGAGUCCGGGAGAGGUGAGUGGAACUGCGAGUGUAGAGGUGAAAUUCGUAGAUAUUCGCAAGAACACCAGUGGCGAAGGCGGCUCACUGGCCCGGUACUGACGCUGAGGUGCGAAAAGCGUGGGGGAGCAAACAGG